rnacentral:rRNA from 1 species
CCUACGGGUGGCAGCAGUGAGGAAUAUUGGUCAAUGGCCGAGAGGCUGAACCAGCCAAGUCGCGUGAGGGAAGACGGCCCUACGGGUUGUAAACCUCUUUUGUCGGGGAGCAAAGCGAACCACGUGUGGUUCAUUGAGAGUACCCGAAGAAAAAGCAUCGGCUAACUCCGUGCCAGCAGCCGCGGUAAUACGGAGGAUGCGAGCGUUAUCCGGAUUUAUUGGGUUUAAAGGGUGCGCAGGCGGCCUGUUAAGUCAGCGGUAAAAGCCCGGGGCUCAACCCCGGCGAGCCGUUGAAACUGGCGGGCUGGAGUUGGAGAGAAGUACGCGGAAUGCGCGGUGUAGCGGUGAAAUGCUUAGAUAUCGCGCAGAACCCCGAUUGCGAAGGCAGCGUACCGGCUCCACACUGACGCUGAGGCACGAAAGCGUGGGUAUCGAACAGGAUUAGAUACCCCUGUAGUC